CAGAGGGUGCGAGCGUUAAUCGGAAUUACUGGGCGUAAAGCGUGCGUAGACGGCUAUCUAAGUCGGGUGUGAAAGCCCCGGGCUCAACCUGGGAAUUGCAUUCGAGACUGAAUAGCUAGGGUACGGUAGAGGGAAGUGGAAUUUCCGGUGUAGCGGUGAAAUGCGUAGAUAUCGGAAGGAACAUCAGUGGCGAAAGCGACUUCCUGGACCAGUACCGACGUUCAGGCACGAAAGCGUGGGGAGCAAACAGGAUUAGAUACCCUGGUAGUCCACACCAUAAACGAUGAGGACUAGACGUUGGAGGGGUAAGCCUUUCAGUGUCGUAGCUAACGCGCUAAGUCCUCCGCCUGGGGAGUACGGCCGCAAGGUUG
rnacentral:rRNA from 1 species